UUCAAUUAGUAAACUGGUAGA
rnacentral:piRNA from 1 species